UUAGGGCUUCGCAGACUAGAGGCGGGUUCUGCGGAGGGUGGGGCGGUCUCUGCUUGCGCAUGCGCAGUGCCAACCAGUGCCUGCGCGUCUUGCUCUUGCAACGUAAAAUUUCCCAGCGCGAAGCAGGGAGUGAGGCUGCGGCGGCUUCGCAUUGUGGUUCCUGCCGACCGCCAGGCGCUGCUACAGUGGAUGCGAACUACCUGUAAGUCAAGAACGUUGCCGCAGUUUGCCUCCGCAGCAUUAUAUCAUGCUGCAGAAACCAGCUCAACUAUGCGAAACUACCACCAGGACUGGCAGACACCAGCAGGGAUUCCAGAGACCACGCUGCAGAGAGCAUACAGAAAGAAAAUUAAGAAAUCAGAUGCAGCAGCAGCUGGAACCCACAGUUCACCUUGGUGCAUUCCUUUAUGAUGAAGACUUAUUGAUUCAUUAUAUGAGAAAGGAAAAAUGAGCAGAAACUACUGUAUGAUGUGCAGCUCACACCAGACAGCACCUUUAGGGUUAUCUUUCCAGUUCAGCAGUGCAACUCUAUGGAGUAGAAUUGAAAGGAGACUUUCCCCAAUUGCAGGAAAUGGUCAUAAAAAAAUACCUGUUCACUGACAGAAUAAAGGUUCUUCUGCUUCCCCGAACCACAAGGUGGAAAACAGAACAUGCUGGCAGCUCUUCAGUUUACAAAUUAUAGUGUGGACACAUGAAGAGAGAUGGCUGUUUCUCAGUCCAAACGCCAUGUCCCGGGAAAAGGCUCCAUCCGGCCCACAUUGGGGCAGAUGUCCACCCCAGGACUUAUCAACUGUCAUCUAUAGUUGGGACAGCCUCUAUUGAAAAUGAUGAUUUUCACUUCAAUUCUGAGGAGUAGGCAGGAAAUGAAAAUUUUUAGAAGGAGGAUAUAAAUAGAAAAUCUAGGCUGGGGCCAGGCACAGUGGCUCAUGCCUGUAAUCCCAGCACUUUGGGAGGCCGAGGCCAGCA